rnacentral:rRNA from 1 species
UGCCCCGAAGAUGGGGAUAACCUCUGGAAACGGGGGCUAAUACCCAAUGUGCUCGGUGAUUCGGUUCAUCGAGUAAAGCUCCGGCGCUUCGGGAGAGGCCUGCGGCCCAUCAGCUAGUUGGUAGGGUAACGGCCUACCAAGGCAGAGACGGGUAGGGGGCGUGAGAGCGCGGACCCCCACACUGGCACUGAGAUACGGGCCAGACUCCUACGGGAGGCAGCAGUAAGGGAUAUUGCGCAAUGGACGAAAGUCAGACGCAGCGACGCCGCGUGGGCGAUGAAGGCCUUCGGGUUGUAAAGCCCUUUUAUGGGGGAAGAGAAAAAGGACGGUACCCCAGGAAUAAGUCCCGGCUAACUACGUGCCAGCAGCCGCGGUAAAACGUAGGGGACAAGCGUUAUCCGGAUUCACUGGGCGUAAAGAGCGUUGAGGCGGUUCCGUAAGUUGGGCGUGAAAGCUCCGGGCUUAACUCGGAGAUGUCGUUCAAUACUGCGGGGCUUGAGGACAGCAGAGGAAGGUGGAAUUCCCGGUGUAGUGGUGAAAUGCGUAGAUAUCGGGAGGAACACCCGUGGCGAAGGCGGCCUUCUGGGCUGUUCCUGACGCUGAAGGCGAAAGCUAGGGGAGCGAACGGGAUUAGAUACCCCGGUAGUCCUAGCUGUAAACGAUGGAUGCUGGGUGUGGGGGGUGUAAAUUCCCUCUGUGCCGAAGCAAACGCGUUAAGCAUCCCGCCUGGGGACUACGGCCGCAAGGCUAAAACUCAAACGAAUUGACGGGGGCCCGCACAAGCAGCGGAGCGUGUGGUUUAAUUCGAUGCUACACGAAGAACCUUACCUGGGUUUGACAUGCACGUGGUAGGGAACCGAAAGGGGACCGACCUUCGGGAGCGUGCACAGGUGCUGCAUGGCUGUCGUCAGCUCGUGCCGUGAGGUGUCGGGUUAAGUCCCGUAACGAGCGCAACCCUUGCCCUUAGUUACAAGUGUCUAAGGGGACUGCCCGGGACAACUGGGAGGAAGGUGGGGAUGACGUCAAGUCAGCAUGGCCUUUAUAUCCAGGGCUACACACACGCUACAAUGGCCGGUACAAUAGGUUGCGAAGUCGUGAGGCGGAGCCAAUCCUCAAAGCCGGUCUCAGUUCGAAUUGCAGUC